AUAUCUUGAAAUGUUAAAAACAAAACCCUACUUUCCCAGUCCUAAGAGCUUUCAUUUCCUUCCGGAUCAGUAUAGCGUUUGCUAUGCCUAAGCUUUAUUCGCCGAGUCCAGUUGAUCAACAAAGAAAAUACUGGUAUAUACCUGCCCUUUAUUUACAAGAAUGAGAAACAUUUUGUACUGCCUCACUUCACUUUCCAUUAUAUGUGAGUCUAAAGAGCAAAUGGAGUGCACAAAAUCACAUCCAUAUCCGUGCUGCUACAACCAGCAGUUGAAUGACGAUAAUAACACUUGUAUAGAGUGUCCCAAAGGAAGCAUUGGCUGGAAUUGUAAAUCAUUAUGUCCCUCUGGAUUUUAUGGACGUCUGUGUAAAUCUCCCUGCGAGUGUUUCGCCUCGGAGUGUCAUCGUGUGACUGGCUGUAUAACGAC